rnacentral:lncRNA from 1 species
AGGGAGAAUAUGCGAGCACAUCAAGAGAUGCCCCCUAUGGCUAACCAGGGUAUGCAGAACUCAGGACCCACAGCUCCUCCCAACAUGGGUGGUAUGCCUCCAAACAGCAAUAUGGGUGGUAUGCCUCCAAACAGCAAUAUGGGUGGUAUGCCUCCAAACAGCAAUAUGGGUGGUAUGCCUCCAAACAGCCAUAUGGGUGGUAUGCCUCCAAACAGCAAUUUGGGUGGUAUGCCUCCUAACAGCAAUAUGGGUGGUAUGGCUCCUAACAGCAUGGGUGGGAUGCCCACGAACAACAAUAUAGGUGGUAUGGCUCCGAACAACAUGGGUGGGAUGCCCCCGAACAACAAUAUGGGUGGUAUGC